rnacentral:rRNA from 1 species
UGCAGUCGAACGGUGAAGCCAAGCUUGCUUGGUGGAUCAGUGGCGAACGGGUGAGUAACACGUGAGCAACCUGCCCUGGACUCUGGGAUAAGCGCUGGAAACGGCGUCUAAUACUGGAUAUGAGACGUGAUCGCAUGGUCGUGUUUGGAAAGAUUUUUCGGUCUGGGAUGGGCUCGCGGCCUAUCAGCUUGUUGGUGAGGUAAUGGCUCACCAAGGCGUCGACGGGUAGCCGGCCUGAGAGGGUGACCGGCCACACUGGGACUGAGACACGGCCCAGACUCCUACGGGAGGCAGCAGUGGGGAAUAUUGCACAAUGGGCGGAAGCCUGAUGCAGCAACGCCGCGUGAGGGAUGACGGCCUUCGGGUUGUAAACCUCUUUUNAGCAGGGANAGAAGCGAAAGUGACGGUACCUGCAGAAAAAGCGCCGGCUAACUACGUGCCAGCAGCCGCGGUAAUACGUAGGGCGCAAGCCGUUAUCCGGAAUUAUUGGGCGUAAAGAGCUCGUAGGCGGUUUGUCGCGUCUGCUGUGAAAUCCCGAGGCUCAACCUCGGGUCUGCAGUGGGUACGGGCAGACUAGAGUGCGGUAGGGGAGAUUGGAAUUCCUGGUGUAGCGGUGGAAUGCGCAGAUAUCAGGAGGAACACCGAUGGCGAAGGCAGAUCUCUGGGCCGUAACUGACGCUGAGGAGCGAAAGGGUGGGGAGCAAACAGGCUUAGAUACCCUGGUAGUCCACCCCGUAAACGUUGGGAACUAGUUGUGGGGACCAUUCCACGGUUUCCGUGACGCAGCUAACGCAUUAAGUUCCCCGCCUGGGGAGUACGGCCGCNAAGGCUAAAACUCAAAGGAAUUGACGGGGACCCGCACAAGCGGCGGAGCAUGCGGAUUAAUUCGAUGCAACGCGAAGAACCUUACCAAGGCUUGACAUAUACGAGAACGGGCCAGAAAUGGUCAACUCUUUGGACACUCGUAAACAGGUGGUGCAUGGUUGUCGUCAGCUCGUGUCGUGAGAUGUUGGGUUAAGUCCCGCAACGAGCGCAACCCUCGUUCUAUGUUGCCANGCACGUAAUGGUGGGAACUCAUGGGAUACUGCCGGGGUCAACUCGGAGGAAGGUGGGGAUGACGUCAAAUCAUCAUGCCCCUUAUGUCUUGGGCUUCACGCAUGCUACAAUGGCCGGUACAAAGGGCUGCAAUACCGUGAGGUGGAGCGAAUCCCAAAAAGCCGGUCCCAGUUCGGAUUGAGGUCUGCAACUCGACCUCAUGAAGUCGGAGUCGCUAGUAAUCGCAGAUCAGCAACGCUGCGGUGAAUACGUUCCCGGGUCUUGUACACACCGCCCGUCAAGUCAUGAAAGUCGGUAACACCUGAAGCCGGNNGCCCAACCCUUGUGGAGGGAGCCG